UUGAUUUUGCAAAGUGCAGAGCAAUGGGAACUGGAGGAAUUCAGCAGGUGAUUGCUGGAGGUGGCACUUGCUCUGGAAGGAAGGGUUUUGCUCAAGUUGUUGGUCUGUUUGGCAGAGCAGGCUUCGUGGCUGUGAAGAAGGAAGAAAAGGAAUUGCAAUGUGAAAUACUGCUCACAUGCAAUCACUGCUGCUGAUCCUGUCAGCUGGGAUGGUUGACAUCUCUGAAGAAAGGUCUUCAAAAGUGUGUAAGAUCCAAGUCUUUUUUGCGAUCAAGAAUGUGUUUAGCCCACUUGUGGGAUCCCUUAGCAUGCAUGCAAGAAGCAAAAGUGGUGCUGCAAUCCGGUUCAAUUUCCCAGAAAGUUUCUCUUCCUCCUGUAGAAGCCCUUACUGGCCCUAACGAAGGAUUAAAGGUGAUGCUAAAGCUCUGUCCUGUCGCUGGCUAUCCCUGGCCAGGCUCCCUGUGUCCCCUGGAGGGAUCUCGCUUGCUCAGGUGCCUGCUGAGAACAUCCCUGCUGCCAUAGCCCAUCCCGCAGUUUCUUUGGUUGCAGGGGGAAACUGGGGGGUGAUCCCUGAUUUCUUUUGGCAUUAAGAACCACUUCCAGCUCCUAAGCCAGACCUGUCAUCCACUUCUGGAGUGCUUAAAAUAAAGUGCACAGAUACAGAGUAAGCUGAAACAGUCAAGAAGCAAUAUAAUACAAAAAUGUUUCGAGUAAAGUGUGUUACUCAGAUCUUUCUAAAGUACAUUUCUCCCUUUAUUCUGAAGGCCACAGCACAGACAACUCUGACUAAUGCAAGUAAUGGAACCAAUCUCUUCCUUUGAUCAUCAAAAAGGUUAUCUUUUUUGUAAACUAGGUCCAACUAGUUUUGCAAUCUGGUUGGAGCAAACAUGAAAGAAAAAGGUUUAAUUAUCUUUCAAUAAAGCACGAUUUCUUUUCUUUUAGCAAAAUGAUCGGCUAAGGCAGCAUCAGCUUGCAACUGUCGCUGUGCGUGUGACACGUAGUGUGCGAGAUGUAUGUAAUGCAUGGCAUUUGUGUGCAUCUUGUGUCUCAUCAUGAGAUGAUAUAACAAUUUGUGCAUUAAAACCAGGAGGAAAAACUAAGCCAGGAUGUUGAGACUUUUCCUAAGUGAUGUGUAAAAUCUAGUGUCUAGAAGAGAUUGAUCUUUUAACUGAAGGCUGAACCAUAUUUAAAAAAGCUUAGUGCCGAGUUUGUAAAUAGUCUCAGAUUUUCAAUGGAGCUAUUCAAAAUAUAAAUACAGAAGAGUGGAGAUGCUUGCUGGAGAUGUAGAGAAGAGAGAAAGCUGCUCGCUCACUUUAUUUAUAUACAAGCAUUUCCUGUGUAUACAUCAAGAUGGAUCAAACAUAGUUUUAAGAGUUAGAAAACUGGUAUUCUUAUUCCACUGGCUACCUAGGUCGGGUGUUUUUUUAUGGUUUGAUAUGGGAGUUACUGGAUGAAACUCUGGCUUGUAUGAUUCAGGAGGUCAGGCUGGGUGGCCAUAAUAGCCUUCUCUGACCUCAAAGUGCAUCAUUUGUGUGCUUUUUAUUUUUAAGACUUCACAAUGAGACUACUUUAAAGUUGGAAAGUAAAGAACGGAAUUGAAAAAA